GCCUUCGUAGUGCAGUGGUCAGCACGCUGGGCGCGUAUUCCAGAGGUCCGUGGUUCGAGUCCCGACGAAGGCG
rnacentral:tRNA from 1 species